rnacentral:rRNA from 1 species
UACGUAGGGUGCGAGCGUUAAUCGGAAUUACUGGGCGUAAAGCGUGCGCAGGCGGUGAUGUAAGACAGAUGUGAAAUCCCCGGGCUCAACCUGGGAACUGCAUUUGUGACUGCAUCGCUGGAGUGCGGCAGAGGGGGAUGGAAUUCCGCGUGUAGCAGUGAAAUGCGUAGAUAUGCGGAGGAACACCGAUGGCGAAGGCAAUCCCCUGGGCCUGCACUGACGCUCAUGCACGAAA